UACAAUGCCAUAUAAAGUACAUCAACAAAUAUUUCAAGUCUCCAAAGGGACACGAGAAGAUUUAUAUUCUCCUCAUUUUAAUGCGGUGUAUUUUUGACUCUUUCAAGGUCGGGUCCUCAUCACCCUAUAGUUGUUCACCAAAAUCACUCAUGUUCUCCUUGCUAGUCCCAGCUACACUUUUAUUACCUGAAAGGGGUGGUGAAGUAAAAGGGUGAGCACAAAUAGACCAGUAAAGAAUAUCAUGACUUAAGAUAACUAAAUUAUCAAAACAAUUCAGAUAUUUAGAACAUAUGGUAGAAGAUAAAAGUUUUCAACCAUAAUAGCUACGGAAUCAACAAUCCAUUAGAAGAGUCAAGUAGAACAUAAUGUCUACUAUCUCCUAUAGAUUAAAAGUCCAUCGUUAAUAUUUCAUUCCUGUAAUACUCAUCAACAGUUCUUUGUUAUACCCAAGACAAAGAGAACUCUCAUCAACUGUCUUCACCUGAACCACCACAGAUUAUAAUUAAAUCACAAUUCAGAUUUAUAAUCAAAUAAAUCAACAGUCCAUCUUUGCAAUACAAGCCUAAGAUAUACAACUGUAAAAUCAAUAACGCUGAGACUCAGCUCAAUUGUAUCACGACCAUGAAUUAACCAUGCACUACGGGCUAAGGAUAAUCGCAUUUUCACCAAUGGUCAUGAUUAUACCGAAUAAUCCCUGGUCAUAAUCAUGCCAAUCAACAGUCCAUCUUUGCACAUAAGUCAAAGAUGACUUUUACCACAUCAUUUGUAACAUUACAGUCAUGAUUAUACCGAAUAAUCCCUGGUCAUAAUCAUAUCAAUUCCAUCUUUGCACUACGGGCCAAAGAUGACUUUUACCACAUCAUUUGUAAUAUUACGGUCAUGAUUUUACCAAAUAAUCCCUGGUCAUAAUCAUACCAAGUCCAUCUCGGGCCAAAGAUGACUUUUAACACAAUAUAAGCAUAACAAUGAUGAAAAUGAUAUAUAUAAUGAAUAAACAUAAAUAAUCAAAAUAAUAAGAUAACAUAGAUCUUAUUGAUUUUCAACUUAAUUAUCCAGAGUCCAAAUUACUAACAUAAUGUUAGAUGAAGCACAAACUAUUAAGGAUAUUCUAAUUCUUUCAGGACUUUUCACCAUUUAAUGAUAAACUGAAUAAAUGAAUAAUAAUAUCUUACCAUAAUAUGGAGUACGAAAGAAAAUGAUAUUCCUUUUACCAUAAAAAUGAUACUCUCUUACCACAAUAAUGAUAUCCCUUACCUUAACAUGUGACUUGAUUCUGCUUUCUGUAAAAUUGAUCAACUUAAACAAUGCUUGCAUUCCUUAUCUACACUUGGAGUAACAUUUUACUCAAUAGAAAUACUCACAAUAUUAUACUCACAAUAUUGUAGUAAAAGAAUUCUAUAUUUUUAGUGCAGUGAUGGUGUGCGUUUAGUUACUCAACCGAGCAACCUAUUUAUACUAAAAAUUUAAUAAACAACUAGCACACCUGCUUUGACAAAAUAACCAAAUGAGGUAUAUAAUAAUGGUAGUGGAAUUUAUGGUCCCACCGAGAAAAUUAAACCAACUUGUACACGUUUUAACAAAAUUUGUUCAAUAAUAGAGUUGUGGUCCAUACUACUUUUAGAAAAAGUAAAGUGUCGGCAAGUCCUGCCAAACUUACUUUUGUAAAAAGAAAAUAAUUGAACAAAUAUCUGUAUAUCAUACUUAUCUUUAAUUAACACCUUUUAUUCAUUAAUUAUUUACACAUUUUAAAUCUUUCAACAAUUAUUCACAAUUAUUAACAUAGACUCGCAGUACUUCCAACUGGUAUAUAUAAUUAUAUCAUAUCAAAUAAAAUGAGUCACUGUGCAAUAACUACUGUGACAAUUAUUGAAUGAAAUACAUAGUGACUUCUUACGUAAUUAAGAAUCAAUAAUAUGAAUCACUAUGCAAUAAUUAUUGUGACCAUUAUUGAAUGAAAUACAUGGUGACUUCUUCGUAAGAAUCAAAUCAAUACCUUAAUUAUAAACAAUUUAAAUUCUAUUAAAAUUAGGGAUCAACAUCAAAUCAUAUUUAUCUCAAAUAACAUAUAAACCAACUAAUAAUUCAUUAUUUAUUCAAGUUGUCAUUAUUUAUCGCAUAAAACCAUUAUUCACACUCCAAAACUUUAGAAGUGAAUAAUAAAACUUGAGAAAUAUAAAACCUCAUAUAUGACAAUCCAUUAUUCUGAUAUUAUCACCAUUUUUAUUUUAACAAAAAUAUUAUUUUUAUUUUUAUCAUAACUCAUUCGUUACUAGUGCGUUUAAAUUCCCACACCUCAUGAGCUUACUAACACUUCUAAAAUAUUUAAAAAUAUGAUUCUGAACUUUCCAAAUAAUUUUCAUAUUUUUCAAAUUAUCCAACAAUUUUCUAUAAUUAUUUCUAUUUAUAAAAACUAUCAUUUAAUAGCUUCAAAAUAGAAAUACUAACUUUACAUACUUUUAUAUCUUUAAAACAUCAUCAAUAUUAAUCUUAUAUUAUUAUAAUAUUUUUCAGCAAAAUUCAUAAUUUUCCACCAUUCAUAGAAUUUCCUAUGACUUUCCUCUAUUUUUAAAUUAACCAUAAAUAGUUUAAAAAUACAAUCAAUAUUUAUGUUAUUCAAUAAUUUUCCAAAACUAUCUAGAAAUUAUAAAAUAAUAUUAUAAGUUUUUUCACCAACUUUCAUAAUUUUUCAUCAUUCAUAGAAUUUUCUAUGAAUUUCUUAUAUUUUCAAACUAACUAUAAAUAGUUUAAAAAUAUAAUAAUUAAUUCUGCUUUUCAAUAAUUCAUCAAAAAUUUACAGAAAAUCUAAACUGAUAUUAUAAGAAUUCUGUAAAAAUAUCUCAACCUAAAUAAUUUUUCUGAUAAUUUAAUUAUAAACUCCAAUAUUUAGAAAUUCAAUAAUUCACAAUAAUUAGCACUUUUAUCAGAAAAAUACAGAUCUUAUGUACUUCCAUGUAAAAUUUAAUUCUCUACAACUUUGUAGAAGAAAGUUUUCCCAAAUUCUGACUCUAACAUAGAGAGAAAGGCUUAUCGAAAUUUCUGAUACAAUAAUUUCUGGAUCAGUCACCUUCUUAAAUUUAUAACAAAUCAUUCGUUAAUCUUUAAUGAAUCAAAAUUUGUGGAUAAAUACUCAACUUAUAUAUUCAUAACAUAUCCAAAAAUUACAACGAUCCAACGGUCGGCUUAAAAAUUAUAACUCACGCAAUAAGGCUUAAGAACACUGAUUUUUCGGACUAUGAGUCCUUCGGACCAGUUUCACUCAAACUGUCACCACAAAAAAUUCACAAAGAAUUUUUGGAUGAUUCAAAUUUCUGCAUUUAGCUUACUUCUAGGGCUUUCUUUUGAUAUAUGGCUCAUCGCCUAACUCAUUAUACACAAACAGUUACGGAUUUUACAAAAUCAAGUAGUAAACUAUUUUUUUUUGGAAAUUCUCCAUAUUUUGUUCUUCUUUUGAUUUCUUGAUUUCUCUCGCUUGAUCUUUGUUUAUACAAGUUUAAAUCAUCUAAAUCAAGUAUAAGCAAAAUCUCUUCAUAUAAAAUUCAUGAAAAUUUAAAUCAGAAAAUAAUUUAAGAAUUUUAAAAUUACCUCUUUAUCAAUUUCCUUUUUCUUUUAUCCUUCCUUUCUUCUUUAUCUUCUUCUGAUUCUCUCUAUUUCUCUUCUCUCUUUUUUUUUCUUAUUACUCUUGUGAGGGAAUGGGUGAGAGUGAUAA
rnacentral:lncRNA from 1 species